UAACGACUCUCGGCAACGGAUAUCUCGGCUCUCGCAUCGAUGAAGAACGUAGCGAAAUGCGAUACUUGGUGUGAAUUGCAGAAUCCCGUGAACCAUCGAGUCUUUGAACGCAAGUUGCGCCCGAUGCCUUCUGGCCGAGGGCACGUCUGCCUGGGUGUCACGC
rnacentral:rRNA from 1 species